rnacentral:lncRNA from 10 species
AUGAAGGGAAGAAAAGGAAGACAUAGAGGGAGGGUGAGGUGGAGGAGGGAGGAAUGGGGUGAAUGAGAAAUUGUAUUUGCUGGCGGAGAUCUAAUAGCGGUGGGGCUGGAGAAUGAGAUCCCUGCCACCUAACCCUCCCAUCAAGAGGCCGGCUGUGAAGAAAGACUUCAGAGCAGGCAGGGGGCAGAUAGGAUCUCAGCUCCUCCGCAGGGUGCUGGGCCCGCUGCCUCCACCACUGGAGUUCACAAACUCUAGAAAGUGCAGAAGCCUUCACUGCAGAAUGGAGAUGGUGGUAGCACCUCCGCCUGGGGGUUUGAGGCUUAGCCAGGGUGAUCAAAGGACAAGGCUGUGUUAAAAUUCAGAGCACUAUGAACCCAUUUGUCAACUUCAGAUAGAAGGAAAAGUGGAAAGUUGAAAUGGAAUCAAGAAGAGGAAGCAAAGAGCAGUUGUGGCCAGUGGAAAUGGGUCAGAGGUGGGUUUACGGAAAGGAUAGAAUUUGCAUCAUGAUCUACAGUUUUUCUGCAUUUAAGAGAGAAGGAUUUAUUUAAUAAUCCAGUGGAUAAGAUGAUUCAUUUUGUGGAUACCAGUCAGCUGAAUCUUUCCCCAGCCACACUCUCAUCUUCCAAUGGGCUUAUGAACAAAGUGGCCAUGGUGGCAGGGAUGGAAGUUAUGCAUGGACUCAGCAACAUGGACUUCCACUCACCAAGGCUGACCUGGAUAUAGUCACUGGUGAGUGUCUAAUCUGCCAACAGCAGAGACAAGCACUGCGUCCUCCAGAUGGCAUCAUUUCUGAGAGUGAACAGAUGACCCUGAGCAAAGGGAUUUGGGUGCAAUGCAUAUAUUUGGAAGACGAUCCCAAGGAGAUACAGUGAGAGACUGUGGAUGUGGUGCAGGGAUAAUGAGUGUGUUAUUGCUCCAAGCAACAGAGGCUCAGUUCCACUGGGUACCCUCCGAGAAACUCUGGAAAAUGCAUCUCAGAAGGGCCCCUUCAUUCCCACCCACUGUGGAGUUGAGGAAGUUGCGACAUUCAUUCACUUCUUUUUACUCCUCAUUGGUUGAAGUUUCCUCCUGAGGCACCACAGACUGUUCUCACAGCUGACAGAGGGAGCUCCCUUAUUCGCUGGAGGCUUCACGCAGAGAGAAAUGUCAAAACCCAGAGUCAGAUCAGUCUGAGCACACGUGUCUGCUGGUAACUUUCUGUGGAAACCAGGGGUAAGGGUGAAUGUACUCACAGCAUCUGCUGCACAAGUUUUAUUUCAUGUGGUCAGAACAUGCUAACUGUAUUAUUUCAUUGUCUUUUCCUUUUAAAAAAUAUUAUUGGCUGGGUGCGGUGGCUCAUGCCUGUAAUCCCAGCACUUUGGGAGGCCUAGGCAGGAGGAUUGCCUGAGCUCAGGAGUUCACGACCAGCCUGGGCAACAAGGUGAAACCCCAUCUCUACUAAAAAUACAAAAAAUUAGCCGGAUGUGAUGGUGUGCGCCCGUAGUCCCAGCCACUUGGGAGGCUGAGGCAGGAGAAAUGCUUGAUCCCAGAGACGGAGGUUGCAGUGAGCCGAGAUCGCGCCACUGCAUUCCAGCCUGAGCAACAGAGUGAGACUCCAUCUCAAAAAAAAAAAAAAUUAUUAUUAUUAAGGAGUGCUAAAUUUUGAAAAUGUUACAUAUAAACUAGAAAAAUUAUCUGUUAUCUGAUAAUGGAUUUUAAUAAAUAUUGAUUGGUUAGAUCUAUAUAUUAAUUUUAUAAGGUCUCUUUAAUUCAUUUUAUUUUUUUAGGACUGAGAGAACUGUGUUGAAAUCUCCUGUUAUUAGUAUCUUUUUGCUUGCAUAACCUGCAAUUUCUACUGUUGCUGUUUUAUUAGGUGAAUAGAUCUCAAUAACUUACAUUUUCAUUGUGGAUUAUAGUCUUUAGAAUUGUUAGUUUCAUUCAUUGCCUCUCAGUUUUUGAACUUUUCAUUUUGCAAUAAUUAUAGAUUCACAGGAGUUUGAAAAGAUAGUACAAAGAGAUCCCACAUGCCGUCGGUACAUUAUGUGUGUGUAGUUCUAUAUCGUUUUAUCACAUGUGCAGAUGCAUGUAACCACCGUCACCACUGAGAUAGAACUGUUACAACACCACAAAGACCCUUCCUGCUACCCUUUUAGAAUCCCACCACUCCCUCCCCACAACCAUCCCUCACCCAUGGCAACCAGCCAUCUCCCAUACCUAUACUUUUGCAUUUUCAGAAUGUUAUAUAAAUGGAAUCACAUGCCAUGGGGACUUUUGAGAUUGUCCCCUUUUUUUUCAUUCAGCAUAAUUCCCUUGAGAGCCAUAAAAAUUAUUGCAUGUAUAAAUAGUUCUUUUUUUAAUAUCUGAGUCUUUUUGAGUAGUAUGUGUGUGCUCCAGUUUGUUUAAUCAUUCACCUAUUAUAAAACAUUUUGCUUGUUCCAGUUUCGGCUAUUACAAAUAAAUCAGCAAUUAAUAAACAUGUUGAGCUAUUUAUGUGAACACCCAUCUUUAUUUCUCUAAGUUAAACACCUG